UCAAAGGCUCUUUUCAGAGCCACCACCAACUCCGUCAGAAGAGCCG
rfam:Xenopus laevis strain J chromosome 5S, whole genome shotgun sequence.